rnacentral:rRNA from 1 species
GAUGAACGCUGGCGGCGUGCCUAAUACAUGCAAGUCGAGCGAACAGAUGAGGAGCUUGCUCCUCUGACGUUAGCGGCGGACGGGUGAGUAACACGUGGAUAACCUACCUAUAAGACUGGGAUAACUUCGGGAAACCGGAGCUAAUACCGGAUAAUAUAUUGAACCGCAUGGUUCAAUAGUGAAAGACGGUUUUGCUGUCACUUAUAGAUGGAUCCGCGCCGCAUUAGCUAGUUGGUAAGGUAACGGCUUACCAAGGCAACGAUGCGUAGCCGACCUGAGAGGGGGCUGGGCCACACUGGAAGUGAGAAACGGCCCAGACCCCUAGGGGAGGCAGCGGUAGGGAAUUUUCCGCAAUGGGCGAAAGCCUGACGGAGCAACGCCGGGGGGGUGAUGAAGGUCUUCGGAUCGAAAAACUUUUUUAUUGGGGAAAAAAAAAGGUGUAAGUAACUAUGCACGUUUUGACGGAACCUAAUAAGAAACCCCCGCUUAACUCCGU